CUAUCAGGUAGUUGGUGAGGUAACGGCUCACCAAGCCGACGACGGGUAGGGGGCGUGAGAGCGUGGCCCCCCACACGGGAACUGAGACACGGUCCCGACGCCUACGGGCGGCAGCAGUGAGGAAUCUUGCCCAAUGGGGGAAACCCUGAGGCAGCGACACCGCGUGCGGGAUGAAGGCCUUCGGGUCGUAAACCGCUUUUCUGGGGGACGAGUAAGGACGGUACUCCAGGAAUAAGUCCCGGCUAACUACGUGCCAGCAGCCGCGGUAAAACGUAGGGGGCGAGCGUUAUCCGGAAUCACUGGGCGUAAAGGGCGUCUAGGCGGCAGCCUAAGUCCCGUGUGAAAGCUCCCGGCUCAACUGGGAGAGGGCAUGGGAGACUGGGCAGCUAGAGACUCGGAGGGGGGUGUGGAAUUCCCGGUGGAGUGGUGGAAUGCGUUGAGAUCGGGAGGAACACCAGUAGCGAAGGCGGCACCCUGGCCGAGAUCUGACGCUGAAGCGCGAGAGCGUGGGGAGCGAACGGGAUUAGAUACCCCGGUAGUCCACGCCGUAAACGAUGACAACUAGGUGUUGGGUGUCCAAGGAUGCUCAGUACCGCAGCAAACGCGAUAAG
rnacentral:rRNA from 1 species